AGUAAGUACCAGUGAGAAGAGAGUUCGGACGAAAGGUGCCGCAGAGAUGUUGGUGAAGCGCCGUCUAGGAGUUCUAGGAGAAUUGAUUGCCGAGUUCGGACUGAAGCUGAACGUGGUUUUCGUGCCUUCAGAGAAAAACAGGGCGGACGCACUGACCAGGGUGAAAAGGACGUGGUUGGCGGAACCGGAGGAGGCUCGGAAAGGGAUAGCUGCGGCGUGUCGGUUGGAUGACUCUGAACUGAAGAAACUGCAUGCUAUGCAUCACCUGGGUGUGGACAGGACCCUGUAU